rnacentral:lncRNA from 1 species
AACCAAGGCAGUCUUGGAGGCAUCCUGCUUCUGUGCUGGUUGGGAUGCCUUUUCAUACCACCAAGGCUGCUGAAAUAGCAGUUCUCAGCCCUGACAGAGGUGCUUUUCCACUUCCUAACUGAGCCAAAAGAGGUGGAAAGAUUUCUGGCUCAGCUCUCUGAAUUUGCCACCACCAAUCAGAUCAGUCUUGGCUCCCUCAGAAGCAUCGUGAAAAGCCUCCUUCUGGUUCCAAAUGGUGCUUUGAAGAAGAGUCUCACAGCCAAGCAGGUCCAGGCGGAUUUCAUAACUCUGGGUCUUAGUGAGGAGAAAGCCACUUACUUUUCUGAAAAGUGGAAGCAGAAUGCUCCCACCCUUGCUCGAUGGGCCAUAGGUCAGACUCUGAUGAUUAACCAGCUCAUAGAUAUGGAGUGGAAAUUUGGAGUGACAUCUGGGAGCAGCGAAUUGGAGAAAGUGGGAAGUAUAUUUUUACAACUAAAGUUGGUGGUUAAGAAAGGAAAUCAAACCGAAAAUGUGUAUAUAGAAUUAACCUUGCCUCAGUUCUACAGCUUCCUGCACGAGAUGGAGCGAGUCAGAACCAGCAUGGAGUGUUUCUGCUGAUUUCUGUCCCUGCAUCUCCCCUGGCCCCGUUCCCUGCCCUCCUCCCUUCCCUGGGUGACUGCUCUGAGAGGCACUUCACUCACAGGCCUGUGGGAUGCUCCAUGGGGCCCUGCUGGCUCCAUGGGGCCCAGGUGCAAAGGGUUUCUGAAAAACAGCAGGAUUAAGUACUGAAAGAGCCCAACACAAUUACCCUGUAAACUCUCUGUUAGGGCAACCACCACCACCUGUCUUCCAGGACACAUUUUUAGAUACUCUGACAGGCCACUGCAUCUCAGAUUCAGGGGAGAAAAUAAGUUGUCACCUCCCCUUCAAAGUUCCAGAGUAAACAAAUGGUGCCAUCAUUCAAGAUAACAUGCUGAUCACCCUCCUCCCAAAAAGCAAGAGCUUGUUUAUGGCUGAGGAAUCGGCGGAUUGUCUGAAUGACACAUAUACAGAGCCCCCACGGAUUUCUGCACACUCUGGGUCUGUGCUGGUGGAACAUUGCCAAUCAGUUCUUAAUGAGGCACCUGUGUGUAAAUACAUGCUUGGUCUUCUCUGCAGAGAACUGAGGCUAAACUCUGUCCCUACUUCUGGUUUUGCCCUGUCAUGUCGUAACGAGGUGGGCCUUUUGAGGCCAUUUUAGUUUGAGUUCGAGCCAACCACCUCUGUUGGUUAGAUGAUGAAUAAAAAGGUUCUGAAGAAAA